GAUGAACGCUGGCGGCGUGCCUAAUACAUGCAAGUCGAGCGAACAGACGAGGAGCUUGCUCCUUUGACGUUAGCGGCGGACGGGUGGGUAACACGUGGAUAACCUACCUAUAAGACUGGGAUAACUUCGGGAAACCGGAGCUAAUACCGGAUAACAUGUUGAACCGCAUGGUUCAACAGUGAAAGAUGGUCUUGCUGUCACUUAUAGAUGGAUCCGCGCCGCAUUAGCUAGUUGGUAAGGUAACGGCUUACCAAGGCAACGAUGCGUAGCCGACCUGAGAGGGUGAUCGGCCACACUGGAACUGAGACACGGUCCAGACUCCUACGGGAGGCAGCAGUAGGGAAUCUUCCGCAAUGGGCGAAAGCCUGACGGAGCAACGCCGCGUGAGUGAAGAAGGUCUUCGGAUCGUAAAACUCUGUUAUUAGGGAAGAACAAAUGUGUAAGUAACUAUGCACGUCUUGACGGUACCUAAUCAGAAAGCCACGGCUAACUACGUGCCAGCAGCCGCGGUAAUACGUAGGUGGCAAGCGUUAUCCGGAAUUAUUGGGCGUAAAGCGCGCGUAGGCGGUUUUUUAAGUCUGAUGUGAAAGCCCACGGCUCAACCGUGGAGGGUCAUUGGAAACUGGAAAACUUGAGUGCAGAAGAGGAAAGUGGAAUUCCAUGUGUAGCGGUGAAAUGCGCAGAGAUAUGGAGGAACACCAGUGGCGAAGGCGACUUUCUGGUCUGUAACUGACGCUGAUGUGCGAAAGCGUGGGGAUCAAACAGGAUUAGAUACCCUGGUAGUCCACGCCGUAAACGAUGAGUGCUAAGUGUUAGGGGGUUUCCGCCCCUUAGUGCUGCAGCUAACGCAUUAAGCACUCCGCCUGGGGAGUACGACCGCAAGGUUGAAACCCAAAGGAAUUGACGGGGACCCGCACAAGCGGUGGAGCAUGUGGUUUAAUUCGAAGCAACGCGAAGAACCUUACCAAAUCUUGACAUCCUUUGACAACUCUAGAGAUAGAGCCUUCCCCUUCGGGGGACAAAGUGACAGGUGGUGCAUGGUUGUCGUCAGCUCGUGUCGUGAGAUGUUGGGUUAAGUCCCGCAACGAGCGCAACCCUUAAGCUUAGUUGCCAUCAUUAAGUUGGGCACUCUAAGUUGACUGCCGGUGACAAACCGGAGGAAGGUGGGGAUGACGUCAAAUCAUCAUGCCCCUUAUGAUUUGGGCUACACACGUGCUACAAUGGACAAUACAAAGGGCAGCGAAACCGCGAGGUCAAGCAAAUCCCAUAAAGUUGUUCUCAGUUCGGAUUGUAGUCUGCAACUCGACUACAUGAAGCUGGAAUCGCUAGUAAUCGUAGAUCAGCAUGCUACGGUGAAUACGUUCCCGGGUCU
rnacentral:rRNA from 1 species